rnacentral:rRNA from 1 species
AUUGAACGCUGGCGGCAGGCCUAACACAUGCAAGUCGAGCGGAUGAAGGGAGCUUGCUCCUGGAUUCAGCGGCGGACGGGUGAGUAAUGCCUAGGAAUCUGCCUGGUAGUUUGGGAUAACGUCCGGAAACGGGCGCUAAUACCGCAUACGUCCUUAGGGAGAAAGGGGGGGAUCUUCGGACCUCACGCUAUCAGAUGAUCCUAGGUCGGAUUAGCUAGUUGGUGGGGUAAAGGCCUACCAAGGCGACGAUCCGUAACUGGUCUGAGAGGAUGAUCAGUCACACUGGAACUGAGACACGGUCCAGACUCCUACGGGAGGCAGCAGUGGGGAAUAUUGGACAAUGGGCGAAAGCCUGAUCCAGCCAUGCCGCGUGUGUGAAGAAGGUCUUCGGAUUGUAAAGCACUUUAAGUUGGGAGGAAGGGCAGUAAGUUAAUACCUUGCUGUUUUGACGUUACCAACAGAAUAAGCACCGGCUAACUUCGUG